GAUAGAACGCUAGCGACAGGCCUAACACAUGCAAGUCGAGGGAAAGGGUAGCAAUACCUGAAAACCCGGCGCACGGGUGCGUAACGCGUAUGCAACCUACCUUUUACGUGGGGGAUAGCUUUCGGAAACGGAAAUUAAUACCCCAUAACAUUGCGAUAUCGCCUGAUAUUGUAAUUAAAGCUCCGGCGGUAAAAGAUGGGCAUGCGUGACAUUAGCUAGUUGGUAGGGUAACGGCCUACCAAGGCUACGAUGUCUAGGGGUUCUGAGAGGAAGGUCCCCCACACUGGUACUGAGACACGGACCAGACUCCUACGGGAGGCAGCAGUGAGGAAUAUUGGUCAAUGGACGCAAGUCUGAACCAGCCAUGUCGCGUGCAGGAUGACUGCCCUAUGGGUUGUAAACUGCUUUUGUAUGGGAAGAAAGUGAGAUACGUGUAUCUCUUUGCCGGUACCAUACGAAUAAGGAUCGGCUAACUCCGUG
rnacentral:rRNA from 1 species